UGGCGGACGGGUGAGUAAUGUCUGGGAAACUGCCCGAUGGAGGGGGAUAACUACUGGAAACGGUAGUUAAUACCGCAUAACGUCGCAAGGCCAAAGAGGGGGACCUUCGGGCCUCUUGCCAUCGGAUGUGCCCAGAUGGGAUUAGCUAGUAGGUGGGGUAACGGCUCACCUAGGCGACGAUCCCUAGCUGGUCUGAGAGGAUGACCAGCCACACUGGAACUGAGACACGGUCCAG
rnacentral:rRNA from 1 species